GACGAACGCUGGCGGCGUGCUUAACACAUGCAAGUCGAGCGGUAAGGCCCUUUCGGGGGUACACGAGCGGCGAACGGGUGAGUAACACGUGGGUGACCUGCCCUCAGCUCUGGGAUAAGCCUGGGAAACUGGGUCUAAUACCGGAUAUGACUCCAUGACGCAUGUUGUGGGGUGGAAAGCCUUGUGCGGCUGAGGAUGGGCCCGCGGCCUAUCAGCUUGUUGGUGGGGUGANGGCCUACCAAGGCGGCGACGGGUAGCCGGCCUGAGAGGGCGACCGGCCACACUGGGACUGAGACACGGCCCAGACUCCUACGGGAGGCAGCAGUGGGGAAUCUUGCGCAAUGGGCGAAAGCCUGACGCAGCGACGCCGCGUGAGGGAUGACGGCCU
rnacentral:rRNA from 1 species